AACGAACGCUGGCGGCAGGCCUAACACAUGCAAGUCGAGCGCCCCGCAAGGGGAGCGGCGGACGGGUGAGUAACGCGUGGGAAUAUGCCCUUUGCUACGGAAUAGUCUCGGGAAACUGGGGGUAAUACCGUAUACGCCCUUUGGGGGAAAGAUUUAUCGGCGAAGGAUUAGCCCGCGUUGGAUUAGGUAGUUGGUGGGGUAAUGGCCUACCAAGCCGACUAUCCAUAGCUGGUUUGUGAGGAUGAUCCGUCACACUGGGACUGAGACACGGCCCAGACUCCUCCGAGAGGCAGCAGUGGGGGAUCUUAGACAAUGGGGGCAACCCUGAUCUAGCCAUGCCGCGUGAGUGAUGAAGGCCUUAGAGUUGUAAAGCUCUUUCAGCUGGGAAGAUGAUGACGGUACCAGCAGAAGAAGCCCCGGCUAACUCCGUG
rnacentral:rRNA from 1 species